rnacentral:snRNA from 1 species
AAGCUUCCUCAGUGUGGAGGGAG